rnacentral:rRNA from 1 species
AUUGAACGCUGGCGGCAGGCCUAACACAUGCAAGUCGAGCGGAUGAAGGGAGCUUGCUCCUGGAUUCAGCGGCGGACGGGUGAGUAAUGCCUAGGAAUCUGCCUGGUAGUGGGGGAUAACGUCCGGAAACGGGCGCUAAUACCGCAUACGUCCUGAGGGAGAAAGUGGGGGAUCUUCGGACCUCACGCUAUCAGAUGAGCCUAGGUCGGAUUAGCUAGUUGGUGGGGUAAAGGCCUACCAAGGCGACGAUCCGUAACUGGUCUGAGAGGAUGAUCAGUCACACUGGAACUGAGACACGGUCCAGACUCCUACGGGAGGCAGCAGUGGGGAAUAUUGGACAAUGGGCGAAAGCCUGAUCCAGCAUGCCGCGUGUGUGAAGAAGGUCUUCGGAUUGUAAAGCACUUUAAGUUGGGAGGAAGGGCAGUAAGUUAAUACCUUGCUGUUUCGACGUUACCAACAGAAUAAGCACCGGCUAACUUCGUG